rnacentral:rRNA from 1 species
GACGAACGCUGGCGGCGUGCUUAACACAUGCAAGUCGAACGGGUCUGCCCUGUUUUUUGCGGGGUGGGUCAGUGGCGAACGGGUGAGUAACACGUGAGUAACCUGCCCCUCACUUCUGGAUAACCGCUUGAAAGGGUGGCUAAUACGGGGUGUUCUGGCUGUGCCGCAUGGUGUGGCUGGGAAAGAUUCACUUUUGUGGUGUUUUGGUGGGGGAUGGGCUCGCGGCCUAUCAGCUUGUUGGUGGGGUGGUGGCCUGCCAAGGCUUUGACGGGUAGCCGGCCUGAGAGGGUGGGCGGUCACACUGGGACUGAGAUACGGCCCAGACUCCUGCGGGAGGCAGCAGUGGGGGGUAUUGCACAAUGGGCGGAAGCCUGAUGCAGCGACGUCGCGUGAGGGAUGGAGGCCUUCGGGUUGUGAACCUCUUUCGCCGGUGAAGAAGGUCCUGCUCUUUGUGGUGGGGUUGACGGUAGCCGGGUUAUGAAGCGCCGGCUAACUACGUG